GGCGAGAUGGCCGAGCGGUCUAAGGCGCCAGACUAAGGUGAAUGGGUUUCAGCCCUCCGAAAUCUGGUCCGAAAGGGCGUGGGUUCGAAUCCCACUCUCGUCA